AAACCUUGACGAUAAGAAUAUUCACAGAGCUACCUGUGUUGAUCAAGAUCAUCUUUACUUGAAAUGAGAAGAUGGUGGCAAAAACCAUGAGAAGACCGUCUCCUUUAACAUCAAAGACGUCCCUUUCAUCAAAUUCCGAAAACUAAAACUGUCAUGGAGAAGUCCUGGGCUUUUUCACUGGGGCGGCCCCUAACAUUACACUCCUAAGGUUGUGAUGACUAAACGAGUGUUUUGAUGGUUGGAAGAGAAAGUUGUGGCAGCAGGCCACAAUGAGUGAAGGUAACCAAACUUACUUCGAAGUUGCAACUUGAAUUUUGGAGGUUGUGACGACUAGACGAGUGUUUUGAUGGUUGGAAGAGAAAGUUGUGGCAGCAGGCCACAGUGAGUGAAGGUAGUAAGCUGCCCACACAAAAGUCGUGGCUCCAGAAUAUGACAUCAGCUCAAAUAAGAACAGCCUCUCUUUUUUUUUUUUUGUUAUCAAGGAUUUUAUUACUCUGUGUGAUGCUUUGGAUGGUUGUAUUUUACAUAAAUUGAUGUUUUAUCUAUGAAAAAUGCAUGGAUAUUAUGUAUAUUUACUUUAUUAUGUGUAUAUAUACAACUUUAUAUGCAAUGUCAAA